rnacentral:rRNA from 1 species
GUAUGGGUCCAAGCGUUAAUCGGAAUUACUGGGCGUAAAGCGAGUGUAGGCGGUUCACCAAGUCUGUUGUGAAAUCUCCCGGCUCAACUGGGAGGGUGCGGCGGAUACUGGUGGACUAGAGUGCGAGAGGGGAGAGUGGAAUUCCUGGUGUAGCGGUGAAAUGCGUAGAUAUCAGGAGGAACACCGGUGGUGAAGACGGCUCUCUGGAUCGUGACUGACGCUGAGACUCGAAAGCGUGGGGAGCAAACAGGAUUAGAUACCCUGGUAGUCCACGCCCUAAACGAUGCAUACUUGGUGUGGGCUCUUCAUUGAGUCCGUGCCGGAGCUAACGCGUUAAGUAUGCCGCCUGGGGAGUACGGUCGCAAGGCUG